UGCAGGAGGUGGCCAUGGGCUGCAGGGGGUGGCCACAGUGUGGAAGUGAUGGCCAUGGGCUGCAGGGCAUGCUCACAGCGUGGGGGUGGUGGUGGUGACAGCAUGGGGGUUGUGCCCACGGGCUAAAGGGGGUGGCCACCACAUGGACGUGGUGGUCAUGUGCUGCAGGAGGUCGCCAUGGGCUGCAGGGGGUGGCUACAGCACGGAGGUGGUGGCCACAUCAUGUUGGUGAUGGCCACAUUGUGUAGGUGAUGGUCACAUCAUGUAGGAGGUGGCCAAGAGCAGCAGGGAGUGGCCAUGGUGUGGAAAUGG